GCUCCCUCUGUCCUUGACCCUCACCUGCUAAAAGGGCAGAGGGGAAGUGAAGCCUAGGCGUGGCCCCACCUGCGUCCUAGUCGGCUCUCACCUCCCUGUUGAGUGAGGCUCAGCUUCGCCUCCGCCGCACCUCUGAGCUCUGAGGCCUCCCCUGCCCCAAACGAGAAUGUCCACGUGUUGAAUCCAUUAUAUUUACUUCAGUAGCAGAGAUCACACCUGGAAUGUGUCCGUCUUCUACUGAUUGGAUGAGGCCCACCCUCAUGAGGAAGGACAACCUACUUCUCCCAGUCUGUCUGUCCAAGUGUUAACUUCAUCUGGAAGCUCACUCAACAGAAACACCCACAAUAAUAUCUGACCAAAUGUCUGGGCACCCUAUGGCCCCGUUAAGUUGAUAUAGUAAUUAAUCAUCACAACACUACAAAUCUUAACAAUGUUAACAAUAUCUGACCUUAGAUGGAAAAGAACAUAUAACCCAAGUUAGAGUGGGGUGCACAGAG